GGGUGCAGGUGAGGAUGCAGAUGAGGUGUGGGUGCAGGUGUGAGUUCAGGUCAGGUGAGGGUGCAGGUGAGGGUGCAGGUCAGGUGUGGGUGCAGGUGUGAGUUCAGGUCAGGUGCAGGUGUGGGUGCAGGUGUGAGUUCAGGUCAGGUAAGGGCGCGAGUGUGGGCACCUGUGCCAGUGCAGGUGCCCUGGGUGCCAGCCCCGGUGU